rnacentral:misc_RNA from 1 species
CUCAGCAUCAGAUAAUGUGGCUUGGGGUGUGUACCCUUGUAAAUCUGCAUCCUGAUUUCCUGGUAACAAUAUGGCCCCAUCAGGUGGUGAGUCUGCAGUCUCCUGGCUCUCAAGUUCUAACUGCCUUUCAGAGCGAACAGUGAUAACAGGGGUUGGAUGCGAGAUUACAAGAUCAUCAGUUUCUGAUGCCUUUGCAGAAACCAAUUCUUCUUUCUCAUUUGCAGUUCUCAGCCUCCCUUUUGCAGAAUGAGAUUUGGAAGGCUUCUUUCCAAACAGUACAGUCUUGAUCCAUCUACCUGGUGAUUUGCCCAUGACUGGAUAAAUGAUAAUCAGAG